rnacentral:rRNA from 1 species
UAGGGGAAUCUUCCACAAUGGGCGGCAAGCCUGAUGGAGCAACACCGCGUGAGUGAAGAAAGGGUUUCGGCUCGUAAAGCUCUGUUGUUGGAGAAGAACGUGCGUGAGAGUAACUGUUCACGCAGUGACGGUAUCCAACCAGAAAGUCACGGCUAACUACGUGCC